rnacentral:rRNA from 1 species
GAUGAACGCUAGCGACAGGCCUAACACAUGCAAGUCGAGGGGCAGCACAUGAGUAGCAAUACGAUGGUGGCGACCGGCGCACGGGUGAGUAACACGUAUGCAACCUGCCUUCUACUAUGGGAUAACCCGUUGAAAGACGGACUAAUACCGUAUAAUACAGGGGCUCCGCAUGGAGAUAUUUGUUAAAGAUUUAUUGGUAAAAGAUGGGCAUGCGUAUGAUUAGAUAGUUGGUGAGGUAACGGCUCACCAAGUCAACGAUCAUUAGGGGUUCUGAGAGGAAGGUCCCCCACACUGGUACUGAGACACGGACCAGACUCCUACGGGAGGCAGCAGUGAGGAAUAUUGGUCAAUGGACGAGAGUCUGAACCAGCCAAGUCGAGUGAAGGAAGACGGUUCUAUGAAUUGUAAACUUCUUUUGUGCAGGAAUAAAGUGGGUUACGUGUAACCUUUUGUAUGUACUGUACGAAUAAGGAUCGGCUAACUCCGUGCCAGCCGCCGCAGUAAUAC